rnacentral:rRNA from 1 species
CUGGCUCAGGACGAACGCUGGCGGCACGCUUAACACAUGCAAGUCGAACGAGAGAAGAGGAGCUUGCUUUUCUGAUCUAGUGGCGGACGGGUGAGUAACACGUGAGCAAUCUGCCUUUCAGAGGGGGAUACCGAUUGGAAACGAUCGUUAAUACCGCAUAAUAUAAUUGAACCGCAUGAUUUGAUUAUCAAAGAUUUAUCGCUGAAAGAUGAGCUCGCGUCUGAUUAGCUAGUUGGUAAGGUAACGGCUUACCAAGGCGACGAUCAGUAGCCGGACUGAGAGGUUGAUCGGCCACAUUGGGACUGAGACACGGCCCAGACUCCUACGGGAGGCAGCAGUGGGGAAUAUUGCACAAUGGAGGAAACUCUGAUGCAGCGAUGCCGCGUGAGGGAAGAAGGUUUUAGGAUUGUAAACCUCUGUCUUCAGGGACGAAAAAAGACGGUACCUGAGGAGGAAGCUCCGGCUAACUACGUGCCAGCAGCCGCGGUAAUACGUAGGGAGCGAGCGUUGUCCGGAAUUACUGGGUGUAAAGGGAGCGUAGGCGGGAUCGCAAGUCAGAUGUGAAAACUAUGGGCUUAACCCAUAAACUGCAUUUGAAACUGUGGUUCUUGAGUGAAGUAGAGGUAAGCGGAAUUCCUAGUGUAGCGGUGAAAUGCGUAGAUAUUAGGAGGAACAUCAGUGGCGAAGGCGGCUUACUGGGCUUUAACUGACGCUGAGGCUCGAAAGCGUGGGGAGCAAACAGGAUUAGAUACCCUGGUAGUCCACGCCGUAAACGAUGAUUACUAGGUGUGGGGGGACUGACCCCUUCCGUGCCGCAGCAAACGCAAUAAGUAAUCCACCUGGGGAGUACGACCGCAAGGUUGAAACUCAAAGGAAUUGACGGGGGCCCGCACAAGCAGUGGAGUAUGUGGAUUAAUUUGAAGCAACGCGAAGAACCUUACCAGGUCUUGACAUCGUAUGCAUAGCUCAGAGAUGAGUGAAAUCUCUUCGGAGACAUAUAGACAGGUGGUGCAUGGUUGUCGUCAGCUCGUGUCGUGAGAUGUUGGGUUAAGUCCCGCAACGAGCGCAACCCUUACUGUUAGUUGCUACGCAAGAGCACUCUAGCAGGACUGCCGUUGACAAAACGGAGGAAGGUGGGGAGGACGUCAAAUCAUCAUGCCCCUUAUGACGUGGGCCUCACACGUACUACAAUGGCUGUCAACAGAGGGAAGCAAAGCCGCGAGGUGGAGCGAACCCCUAAAAGCAGUCUUAGUUCGGAUUGUAGGCUGCAACCCGCCUACAUGAAGUCGGAAUUGCUAGUAAUCGCAGAUCAGCAUGCUGCGGUGAAUAAGUUCCCGGGCCUUGCAC